CAAUAGAAAGUUGUGCCUGUAACUUGAUAUAAUUUAAAGUAUAGUAGUGGCCAGUUGUCUGCUGCUAGGGACACACGUAAGGCAGUUUAAAAUGUUUUUGAACUAAUUUACACUCCAGGUGACAAAAUAAUCUGUACCACAAACCCCCACGAACAUUGCCUUUCCCUUGCCUGGUGCACAAUUCACAUUUGUAGAGCACUUCACAGUUUGUAAAAUAUAUUUUCAUUAAAUGCAAUAGUUCCACAAUCCACAGGCACUGGGGAUGACCCCAGCCAUAAAAAGAGUGGGGCUGUCCUCAGGGGAUAUGAGAUCCCACUGGCCACUUUUCUUUCCCUCCUCUGAGGUGAACCCAUCUUCCUUCUGAGCCCCGAAUGGCACUUCUGUGCAGAGCUUCUCUUUGAGCACAGAGGAAGGCGGAGUCCAGUCUUGGUGUUACAGAGAACUGCACACACAGG
rnacentral:lncRNA from 1 species